GAUGAAGAACGCAGUGAAAUGCGAUACGUAAUGUGAAUUGCAGAAUUCAGUGAAUCAUCGAAUCUUUGAACGCAUAUUGCGCUCUUUGGUAUUCCGAAGAGCAUGCUUGUUUGAGUAUCAGUAAACACCUCAAAACUCUUGAUUUUUUUGAGUUUUGGACUUGAGCAAUCCCAACACCAGUCUAUUUCAGAUCGGCGGCGGGUUGCUUGAAAUGCAGGUGCAGCUGGACAUUCUCCUGAGCUAAAAGCAUAUUUAUUUAGUCCCGUCAAACGGAUUAUUACUUUUGCUGCAGCUAAUAUAAAGGGAGUUUGACCGUAUUGGCUGACUGAUGCAGGAUUUCACAAAGGUCGGCAACGAUCCUUGUAACACUCGAUCUCAAUUCAAGUAAGACUACCCGCUGAACUUAAGCAUAUCAAUAAGCGGAGGA
rnacentral:misc_RNA from 1 species